CAUGUACUGGAAAUCUGAGGAUGAAGUUGCGAUACCCGGUCUUGGUAGGGAAGCUGAUACUUAUCCAUAUGUCUCCUUCACAAUCAACCUCAUCUGAUCUGAAUCAAAAUCCCAGCUUGAUCUGUUUAAUUUAUGGAAACACAAGGUGGGGCCCUUUACUCCUAGUUGUCUGUAAUGCCACUGAAAUCUAAUGGCUCCCUUUGUAUCAUGGAAGCUCUUAUAAGACCACAACAAGGUGAAGGAGUGAUGCCAACUUCCUCUCCCAAGCUUGAAGAUUUCCUAGGUGGUGCAACCAUGGGAGCCCACCAGUACGGAUCCAUUGGCAGGAAAGCUAUGUCUCUAAGCUU